UACGGGGGGGGCAAGCGUUGUUCGGAAUUACUGGGCGUAAAGGGCUCGUAGGUGGCCAACUAAGUCAGACGUGAAAUCCCUCAGCUUAACUGGGGAACUGCGUCUGAUACUGGAUGGCUUGAGUUUGGGAGAGGGAUGCGGAAUUCCAGGUGUAGCGGUGAAAUGCGUAGAUAUCUGGAGGAACUCCGGUGGCGAAGGCGGCGUGCUGGACCUUUUCUGACGCUGAGGCGCGAAAGCCAGGGGAGCAAACGGG
rnacentral:rRNA from 1 species